AAACCCGUAAGGCGCAAGGAA
rnacentral:snRNA from 1 species